UUGAACGCUGGCGGCAGGCCUAACACAUGCAAGUCGAGCGGAUGAAGGGAGCUUGCUCCUGGAUUCAGCGGCGGACGGGUGAGUAAUGCCUAGGAAUCUGCCUGGUAGUGGGGGAUAACGUCCGGAAACGGGCGCUAAUACCACAUACGUCCUGAGGGAGAAAGUGGGGGAUCUUCGGACCUCACGCUAUCAGAUGAGCCCAGGUCGGAUUAGCUAGUUGGUGGGGUAAAGGCCUACCAAGGCGACGAUCCGUAACUGGUCUGCGAGGAUGAUCAGUCACACUGGAACUGAGACACGGUCCAGACUCCUACGGGAGGCAGCAGUGGGGAAUAUUGGACAAUGGGCGAAAGCCUGAUCCAGCCAUGCCGCGUGUGUGAAGAAGGUCUUCGGAUUGUAAAGCACUUUAAGUUGGGAGGAAGGGCAGUAAGUUAAUACCUUGCUGUUUUGACGUUACCAACAGAAUAAGCACCGGCUAACUUCGUG
rnacentral:rRNA from 1 species